AGCUGCGCCUUUUGCUGUGAACGGCGCAGUUAUGAAUAGCAUCAUGUGAAGAUUUAUGUUAAAUUUGUGCGUGCACACAAACAGCGUUUAUAAGAGGAAACAAAGUACAUCCACAUCUCAAUGCAAAACGGCUGUUUUCUUUUUGGAAUUUUAGGAAACCAUGAGCGCCUGUUUUUGGUUAUAACCCAUACUUUGUUUUGCUUUGCUGAAGGGAUGGGACGCUGCACCCAAAGGGACUAAGUGAAAAGAAGUAGUUCAGCCACGAGGGCUCCGAUGACCAUUCUUGGGCCAAUUAACUGCCUAUAGCGCUUUAACGAGACACUGAUAGCCGAUGAUAGGGUCGUAUUGCCUUUCAGGUGCUUUUAUGCGCAGCCGCUGCACGCUGUGGAACAACAGAAAGCACAACAGGGUUUGGUUACAGGAUGGUGGCGGAGAUGGCGAGCUGCGGAGCGGCUUGUCACCUGGAGGACGGAGAUGGAGAUAUCCCUGCACCUGGAAACAAAGAUAACCUGACAGAAAGUGACAGCAGCAGUUCAGAAAACACAGGAACAUCCGCUGAGGACAGCUCAGAGGAG